UACGUAGGGGGCAAGCGUUGUCCGGAAUCAUUGGGCGUAAAGCGCGUGUAGGCUGUCCGGUAAGUCCGCUGUGAAAGUCGGGGGCUCAACCCUCGGAUGCCGGUGGAUACUGUCGGGCUUGAGUACGGAAGAGGCGAGUGGAAUUCCUGGUGUAGCGGUGAAAUGCGCAGAUAUCAGGAGGAACACCAAUUGCGAAGGCAGCUCGCUGGGACGUUACUGACGCUGAGACGCGAAAGCGUGGGGAGCAAGCAGG
rnacentral:rRNA from 1 species